GACAGAGGAUGCAAGCGUUAUCCGGAAUGAUUGGGCGUAAAGCGUCUGUAGGUGGCGAUGUAAGUCUAACGUGAAAUCUCGGGGCUCAACCCCGAAAUUGCGUCGGAUACUGCGUUGCUAGAGGAUUGUAGAGGAGAGUGGAAUUCACGGUGUAGCAGUGAAAUGCGUAGAUAUCGUGAGGAAGACCAGUUGCGAAGGCGACUCUCUGGGCAACUCCUGACACUGAGGCACGAAGGCUAGGGGAGCAAACGGG
rnacentral:rRNA from 1 species